rnacentral:rRNA from 1 species
AGUUAUAUCACCCUGAAAGUGCCUGAUUUCGUCUGAUCUCAGAAGCUAAGCAGGGUUGGGUCUGGUCUGUACUUGGAUGGUAAACAUUUAAGCAUUUCAAUAAAUUC